AGUGAACGCUGGCGGCGUGCCUAACACAUGCAAGUCGAACGGACGAAGAGAGCUUGCUCUCCUAGUUAGUGGCGCACGGGUGAGUAACACGUAGCUAACCUGCCCCAUAGUAAGGGACAACAGUUGGAAACGACUGCUAAUACCUUAUACUCCUUCUCUACCUAAGUAGAGUCGGGAAAGUUUUUUCGCUAUGGGAUGGGGCUGCGGCCUAUUAGCUUGUUGGGGAGGUAAUGGCUCACCAAGGCUAUGACGGGUAGCUGGUCUGAGAGGAUGAUCAGCCACAUUGGAACUGAGACACGGUCCAAGCUCCUACGGGAGGCAGCAGUGGGGAAUUUUACACAAUGGGCGAAAGCCUGAUGUAGCAACGCCGCGUGGAGGAUGAAGGAUUUAGGUUCGUAAACUCCUUUUAUAAGGGAAGAAAUUUGACGGUACCUUAUGAAUAAGCACCGGCUAACUCCGUGCCAGCCGCCGCAGUAA
rnacentral:rRNA from 1 species